ACAGAUUUGAUGGGGACCAGAAGACUCUCAGUAAGCACCACCUAGAACACACACCUGGCGGUGGAUGAAGACCACAGAGCCUAGGAGCCUCCAAGUCCCUCCCUGGCGGUCGACAUGCAGCAUCCGCAGGAUCUGGAGGAAGCGGAUACCCCUGAGAGGGGACGUGCAGUGGGCAGAUCCGCAUCAUUGGGGAGAUUUUCUGAGGCUCAAUGUGUUUUGAAAUCCUGUGCUGCCGGCACCACAUGAUUUAGAGGCGCUAAGAAGGUCCCUCCUGCCCGCCCGCCAAAUGCUCCCUAGGGCAGACAGCAGGGCUACAGGGAGUCGCCAGCUCAGAGCAGCCCACAUCCUGCCCUUC